GAUGAACGCUGGCGGCGUGCCUAAUACAUGCAAGUCGAGCGAACAGACGAGGAGCUUGCUCCUCUGGCGUUAGCAGCGGACGGGUGAGUAACACGUGGAUAACCUACCUAUAAGACUGAGAUAACUUCGGGAAACCGGAGCUCAUACCGGAUAAUAUCUUUAACCGCAUGGUUCAAUAGUGAAAGACGGUUUAGGUAUCACCUCUCGGUGGAUCCGCGCCGCAUUGGCGUGUUGGUAAAGUAACGGCUUACCAAGGCAACGAUGCGUGACCGGCCUGAGCGGGUGACCGGCCACACUGGAACGGAGACCCGGUUCAGACUCCUACGGGAGGCAGCAGUAGGGAAUCUUCCGCAAUGGGGGAAAGCCUGCCGGAGCAACGCCGCUGGUGUGAUGAAGCUGUGCGGAUCGUAAAACCCUGUGAUUUGGGAAGAACAAAUGUGUAAGUAACAAUGCACGUCUUGACGGUACCUAAACAGAAAGCCCCGGCUAACUACGUG
rnacentral:rRNA from 1 species